GUCACGAGAAAGGCUACGCGGCUUUUUUGAAAGGUGAUGUUUCUCAACAAAAAUGCAAGCACAGAGUUGCUAUUCGCAAGAGCAAAGCCCUGGAAUCAGGUUCAUCUGGCAGAAGUCACUCAACAGGAAGCAUACAACAUGGAGCUAGAGUAGGAAGAAUUUGUCGUCAUGCUGAAGGAUGAACUCCACAAACUCAGGUCAAAUGUCUGGAAGAUGCCUAGAAAUAUGCCACCAUCUCCAGUGUCAUGUCACUCAGUGCAGAACAUGGAUGCACUCCUAAUCGAUGCUCACCAUCUUUGAAGCAUUCAAAUGAGAGAGAUAAUCUAUCAAAGCCAAGGACAUGACACCAAUCUUGAAAUCAUCCUCUCCAAGUAGUGUCUGGUGUGAACAGCUGUUGGUAUUUAUGUGAUGUUAAAUAUCUGAAUGCUCUAUUUAAAAAAAAAAUAUUAGAAAAUAUAUUUUGAAGUAUGUCUAAUGAUGACUUUGUGUAGCUCCAAGCAGCAGGUCCAAGCUAUUAUCUCUUUGUUACAGUUUAAUGAAUAUUUGAAUUAUCUGUGGUUUCUUAAAUAGAUGCAUACUAUGUAUGGCUUUAUUAGCAGGAGUAAAGUGUAAGGUAACAAAUUAUUUGCAAUGAUUUUUACUAUUAGGCUGAGAAUUGAGAUGGGUGCAAUAAUUAAGUUUAUGUAUUUUUGGAGUUCACUUAGUUUGAAACUUUCUCUUGAUGAAGUUAGUAUUUGUGUUUAUUUUAUGUUGACAAUUCUGCAAAAGUGGAUCCAAA